UACGUAGGGUGCAAGCGUUGUCCGGAAUUAUUGGGCGUAAAGAGCUCGUAGGCGGUUUGUUGCGUCGGCUGUGAAAUCCCGAGGCUCAACCUCGGGUCUGCAGUCGAUACGAGCAAACUAGAGUGUUGCAGGGGAGACUGGAAUUCCUGGUGUAGCGGUGAAAUGCGCAGAUAUCAGGAGGAACACCGGUGGCGAAGGCGGCAUCCUGGACCAAUAUUGACGCUGAGGAGCGAAAGCUAGGGGAGCAAACGGG
rnacentral:rRNA from 1 species